rnacentral:lncRNA from 1 species
GUAUUUUAGAAGUUCCUGUCAUUCCAUGAGCAAACUUUCUGUGUUUCACUGCUUGAAAGUGAAACCAGCUGUCUUGCUGACAGUUGUGGCCUUGCCAAGAUUACAUUCACUUUAGUCUCAUUGUGAAACUUAAUAUAUGCUUAGUUAUACAAAUGUAUUUUUCUUUUAACAGGAUACAGUAGAGAAGAUUUGUAUAAAAGAAAUAGGAACAAAGCAAAGCUUCUCUUUGACUAUGUCUAUUGAGAUGCCGUAUGUGAUUGAAUUCAUUUUCAGUGAUACACAUGAACUGAAACAAAAGCGCACAGACUGCAAAGCUGUCAUUAGCACCAUGGAAGGCAGCUCCUUAGACAGCAGUGGAUUUUCUCUCCACAUCGGUUUGU